CUCCUGAGAGCUGGGAUUAAAGGUGUGUGUCACCACGCCCAGUUUUAGAUCUCUAUUGCUAACAAUCUCACCUUUUCCUGAAUAGUAACUUCUAGGAAAGAAUUCUUUUAAAGUGUGUGCAGAGGCCAGAGGAGGGUGGCAGAUCCGUGGAGGUGGAGUGAUAGGUGGCUGUGAGCUGCCUGAUGCAGCUGCGCGGAGCAGAAGUCAAGUCCUGUGCAAGAGCCACAGAGGCAGAGUGCUUGCUUAGCAUGCACAAAUCCCUGGGCUCCAUUUCCGGCACUGUAGAAGGUGACACAUGCCCGUGGUCUCAGCACUUGUGAGGUGGAAGUGAAAGGAACAAACGUUCAAGGUCCUUCCUGGCUACAUUGUGAGUUCGAGGCCAGCCUGGGCUAGAUGCUAUCCAGGCGCCUCCAUCAAGGACCUCCAACCAUCAAGGACCCCAAGCUAAGCCCUCCCGAAGAGCUGAACUCUGCACAGCUGACGGAUGGUGGGCACUCUGGCGUUAGACACCCUAGUUUCAGCAACUGAGAAAUCCAGUCACAGUCAGAGGGGAGGCCAGGGGAAGGGAAUCAUUUGUCCUUGUUCUUCCUUUGCUGAGGUUGGCGAAGCUUUGAAGCCAAUCAGGUGUUGAGUCCUAGACUCUGUGCUAGUCACACUGGCUCUCCCAGGGCUCAAGGUCUACAAGCUCCUUCAAGGGGCUCAGCAAUACUGGCUGAGGACCAGUCCCCUCCCUUUGACAUUUCUGUCACUCAUACCUUUAUGACUCUGCUUCAAAUCUCCCCCUGUGGAGGUCUCUGACAAACAGUUCGGAGAGAUCCUCUUUCCUACCGUGACAGACGCUCUCAUGCACCAUCCUGGGAUUUUGUUUCUGACACAAGCAAUGGUUAAUCUAAAAAGAGCAAACCUCAACUAACUGAAAAAAAUGCCUCUGUAAGAUUGGUCUGUGGGGCUGGGCAGGGGUGGUGCACACCUUUAAUCCCAGCACUUGGGAGGCAGAGGCAGGUGGAUUUCUGAGUUCGAGGCCAGCCUGGUCUACAAAGUGAGUUCCAGGACAGUCAGGGCUACACAGAGAAACCCUGUCUCGGAAAAAAAAAAAAAAAAAAAAAAAAAAAACUCAAAAAAGAAAAAAAAAAAAAGAUUGGUCUGUGGGGUUCCUUUUUUUGUUUUUUCGAGACAGUGUUUCUCUGUGUAGCCCUGGCUGUCCUGGAACUCACUCUGUAGACCAGGCUGGCCUCGAACUCAGAAAUCCGCCUGCCUCUGCCUCCCAAGUGCUGGGAUUAAAGGUAUGCACCACCAUGCCUGGAUAUUAUUAUUAUUAUUAUUAUUAUUAUUAUUAUUAUUACUAUUAAUGAUAUGGGAGGGCUCAGCCCCCUGUGGGAUAUAGGGCUACCAUGGAACAGGUAGUCCUGCGGUUAUAUAAGAAGUCAGGGUGAGCAAGCCAGGAAAAGCAAGCCGGUAAGCAGCACUCUUCCAUGGCCCCUAGUUCAGUCCUAGCCUGUAGGUUCUGGCCUGGAGGAGUUCCUGUCCUGACUUCCUUCAUUGAUGUACUAUGGUAAGCUGUAAGAUGAACCCUCUCCUCCUCAAGUUGUUUUUGAUCCGCGUGUUGAUCACACCAAUAGAAGGCAAGCUGGGGCCAUCUUAAGUCCCGCCUUAACGGCUGCACAGGCCACGUGGCCCCACCUCCUCCCUGGGACAUUUUACUCUAUACUUGUUUCUUUCUGUCUCCUCCCUUCCUGCACACAGGCUCCAUGAGGGCCAAGGAUGCUUCCUGUGGAGACAGAUCCUCUCAGAAUGGUCUUCAAGAUGUGCAAAGUCCUGAAGGCCUGAGGAGCCUGUCCCCAGCUCAGGGCUGCCGGGCGAGUGAGCAGACCCAGCUACUCUGGUGUACUGCCCUGAAGCCGGUCCACCUCAGGGUUUGGUUCUGUUAUUCAUCUGCUGGAGAGGGCAUCUGUUUGUCUCAGAAGGAGCCACGUCUGGAUGGAAGCAGAUAGGAGAUGCUGAACUGGGGAAGAAGGAGAGGCUCAGCAGCCAGGCCGGACUCUUAGUCUUUCCUGCACUGGGAGAGGAAGCCCCACGUGACCCUUCCUCAUGCCCCUCUGGGAACUCUCUUACUGAGAGAGGACUCGGAUUCUUUCUCAUACAACUCUUGAGCCCUCUGACCCUCUCUGGCUUUGGAAACAGGAAGUAGCCUGGAUGAGGACCACUGUCCAAAUGCCUUUUAUCUUGGGCUCUCCCUCCCCCAUCAGCUUCAGCUGUGAGACAGAAACUAAAAGUAACCAUUCAAACUUAUGGGGAGUGGCUGGGCAGGGGUUGGGGGGGGGGGCGGAGGGCUGGUAUGUGUAAGGUCCCUGUGUGCCUUUCUCUGUCUGUAGCACAAAGUUUGGUAUACAGUAAGUGCUCAAUACUGGCUGUGGGUCAGGUCCUGCUUUGCAGGCUUAGGAGUCCAACAGGAGCAACUGGAUCUCCUACCCAGCUUAGCUUUCAACCCACCUGGGUCAUUGCACUCUUCCUUCUGGUUGCCCUGAGAAACGGGAAAGCACAUCUAUUUACGUGCUCUGGCCAGCACUCAACACCAGGGACGGCUGGCUGGACCUCAAGCCCUUUCAUCUGGGCCGCCGGAAGCCCUGGCUCGCUGGUUGUCUGGCAGGGGCAGUGUCUUUGUUGACAGAGUUGGCUUUGUUUCUUCUGCAGAUGCUUCCCAGAAGCAUCUGGUUUCCCAAAGUGAAUGGAAAGGAUGCUCUGAACUCUAGGAAACGGAGACCUCAAGGAACCACUGUGCACCACAGUCGGCCUACUAGGAAUGAUGGCUCAGGCCACAGUACCAGGCAUGGGUGCAGAGUAUCAGCUUUGAGGACCACCUGACCGGCCACUCAGGCAUGCUUCCCACUGGAUGAGCACCUGGGACUUCCGGGCAGUCACACAGGGAGACCUUAUCAAGUGACCACCAUGGUAUGGGGGCAUUGUGGGGGGGUCACAUUAACUGCAUGGCUCUCUGGGAAGGUCAUUUGCUUCUGUUCCAUGCAGUUUAGAAAGGCCCUCAAGCCCCAGCAAUUUCACAGCCAAACGUGAGUUCUAUGUGGCAGCCAUACUAAUUACGGCAUCAGGUUAAGGGAGACACAGCUGUGUAGAGAGAACAUCUUGUGUCACCUGUCAAUUAAAAAGUCUACGGCCCCUUGCUUAGGCAGGAAAUAGAAGGUGGGAUGCCCAGGAGGCAGAAAGAAUUCUGGGAAAGAACAAGGCACGGGAAGAUCCACCCAGGAAGAUGUGAGGUGAUGGAGCCAGGGUACCUGAGCACGGGUAACCAACUAGGUGGCAGAAUGUAUGUUAAGAUAAUUGGGUUGUUUUAGUGAUGAUGAUCUUGUCAGAGAAGAGCCUAGCUGUAUGGCCAAGGGAUUUGUAAAUAUGUUUUGAGCCCGAGUCUUGUUUCUGGGAGGAAACACCAAGCUUAGCUUCUACAGAGCUGAACUCUCCAUCGUGUGGGGACCGGCUGGAUCAAAUGGACACAGCAUGGAAUUCUACGCAGCCACUCACGGGGACAAAGUGGACGUUUACGGACUCAGUUGGAGAAGAUGCCAUUGAAUGGAGUGGGCUGGGGUGACGGCUCAGUGGUUAAGAACAUCUGCUCAAGCACUUCUGCAAGCAUUAGGGACUUUGGAUUCCCGGCAGCCAUUUGAAAAAGUUAAGCAUGGUUGUGUGUACCCCAGAGCUGGUGGGGAAGGAGUUCUCUAGGUUCAGGGAGGGACUCUAUCUCAAGGUCGAUAAGACAGAGACAGACGGAUAGCCAAUGGUCUCCACACACACAUAUCACACAUGUGAGCACACAGGCACACAAAAGAGACAGAGAGAGAUAAACAAAUUGAAGAGUUAGCAAACAAUUACCUACCAGGUAGAGGUUUGUACAGGUCAUGUGUUUGUGAGUAUGCAUAAAUAAAAUAUAUUUCC